GAAGAAAUAUUUUUAUUUGAUGAAUAUUAUAUAUUUUCAGGUGCAGUGGCUUCUAUGUUUUGGGUUGAUGCUGAAUUAGGGAGUGAUAUUUACCUUGAUGGUAUCAUAACUAUUGUGGAUUCAAAAUAUGGAUUAAAAGUGAAAUACCACUAAAGGCAGAAGAGAAUGAAAUCAUCCCACCCACUGACCCGUUCCCAAUCUGAGCAUAUGGAUAGGGCCCAAAGCAGCAAAGAAUUGGACAACUUAAAAUGACAGCUCUCUAUUCUGAGGACUUGACACCCGGGCUACUGACAUUGUUCUUUUCAGUUCUACAAAUGUGACAGCAU
rnacentral:lncRNA from 1 species